AGUGAACGCUGGCGGUAGGCCUAACACAUGCAAGUCGAACGGCAGCACAGUAAGAGCUUGCUCUUACGGGUGGCGAGUGGCGGACGGGUGAGGAAUACAUCGGAAUCUACUUUUUCGUGGGGGAUAACGUAGGGAAACUUACGCUAAUACCGCAUACGACCUACGGGUGAAAGCAGGGGAUCUUCUGACCUUGCGCGAUUGAAUGAGCCGAUGUCGGAUUAGCUAGUUGGCGGGGUAAAGGCCCACCAAGGCGACGAUCCGUAGCUGGUCUGAGAGGAUGAUCAGCGACACUGGAGCUGAAACACGGUCAAGACUCCUAAGGGAGGCAGCAGUGGGGAAUAUUGGACAAUGGGCGCAAGCCUGAUCCAGCCAUACCGCGUGGGUGAAGAAGGCCUUCGGGUUGUAAAGCCCUUUUGUUGGGAAAGAAAAGCAGCAGGUUAAUACCCCGCUGUUCUGACGGUACCCAAAGAAUAAGCACCGGCUAACUUCGUG
rnacentral:rRNA from 1 species